GCCAGGCGUGGUGGUGGGCGCCUGUAGUCCCAGCUACUCGGGAGGCUGAGGAAGGGGAAUCGCUUGAACCUGGGAGGCGGAGCUUGCAGUGAGCCGAGAUGGAUCACGCCACUGCACUCCAGCCUGGGUGACAGAGCGAGACUCCCUCUCAAAAAAAAAGAAAAAAAAGAGUGGUGAGAGGGGACAUCUUUGGUCUGGCUGGAGUUCAUUGGUGCGAUCUUGGCUCACUGCAACCUCCGCCUCCUGGGUUCAAGCGAUUCUCCUGUCUCA
rnacentral:sRNA from 1 species